rnacentral:tRNA from 1 species
GGGGCUGUAGCUCAGUUGGGAGAGCGCUUGCAUGGCAUGCAAGAGGUCGACGGUUCGAUCCCGUUCAGCUCCACCA